rnacentral:rRNA from 1 species
AUACGGAAGGUCCGGGCGUUAUCCGGAUUUAUUGGGUUUAAAGGGAGCGCAGGCGGAGAUGCAAGCGUGACGUCAAAUUUCGGGGCUCAACCCCGUCUCGCGUCGCGAACUGCGUCCCUUGGUUGCGGGAAGGGGAGGCGGAACUCGUGGUGUAGCGGUGAAAUGCAUAGAUAUCACGAAGAACUCCGAUCGCGAAGGCAGCCUUCCGGCCCGUCAACGACGCUCAUGCUCGAAGGUGCGGGUAUCAAACAGGAUUAGAUACCCUGGUAGUCCGCACAGUAAACGAUGGACACCCGCGGUUUGGCCUAUAUAGCUGAGCCGCCAAGCGAAAGCGUUAAGUGUCCCACCUGGGGAGUACGCCGGCAACGGUGAAACUCAAAGGAAUUGACGGGG